rnacentral:rRNA from 1 species
AGCGAACGCUGGCGGUAGGCCUAACACAUGCAAGUCGAACGGCAGCACAGUAAUUGCUUGCUCUUACGGGUGUCGAGUGUCGGACGGGUGAUGAAUACUUCGGAAUCUACUUUUUCGUUUGGGAUAACGUAGGGUAACUUACGCUAAUACCGCAUACGACCUACUUGUGAAAGCAGGCGAUCUUCUGACCUUGUGCGAUUGAAUGUGCCGCUGUCGGAUUAGCUAGUUGGCGGGGUAAAGGCCCACCAAGGCGACGAUCGGUAGCUGGUCUGAGGGCAUGAACAGCCACCUUGUAACUGAGAAACGGCAGAGACACCUAGGGGAGGACGCAGUGGGGAAUAUUGGACGAGGGGGGAAAGCGUGAUCCAGCCAAACCGCGGAAAGGAAGAAGGACUUAGGGUUGUAAAGCCAUUUUGUUGGGAAAGAAAAGCAGCAGUUUAACACCCCGCUGUUAUGACGGUACCCAAAGAAUAAGCACCGGCUAACUUCGUG